UAGGGAAUUUUGCGCAAUGGGGGAAACCCUGACGCAGCAACACCGCGUGAACGACGAAGCCCUUCGGGGUGUAAAGUUCUGUCAGUAGGGACGAAUUUUGACGGUACCUACAAAGGAAGCAUCGGCUAACUACGUGCCAGCAGCCGCGGUAAGACGUAGGAUGCAAGCGUUGUCCGGAAUCAUUGGGCGUAAAGAGUUCGUAGGCGGUAUGUAAAGUCUGGUGUUAAAGCCCGAAGCUCAACUUCGGUUCGGCACUGGAUACUUGCAAACUAGAGUGCAAUAGAGGUAGGGGGAAUUCCUAGUGUAGCGGUGAAAUGCGUAGAUAUUAGGAGGAACACCGGUGGCGAAAGCGCCCUACUGGGUUGUAACUGACGCUGAGGAACGAAAGCCAGGGUAGCAAAUG
rnacentral:rRNA from 1 species